ncrna:unclassified sequences GA-cis RNA
GCCAGGAGAUGACCAUGUGACGAAGUCACAUAUUAAAAUGGCAUCGACGACAUCACACAUUGCAGAGCAAUGUGUGAGUACCAAUA